UCUGGCGGCAGUAGCGCGGUGGACCCACCUGACCCCAUGCCGAACUCAGAAGUGAAACGCCGUAGCGCCGAUGGUAGUGUGGGGUCUCCCCAUGCGAGAGUAGGGAACUGCCAGAC
rnacentral:rRNA from 1 species